GACAGAGGUGCCAAGCGUUAGGCGGAAUUACUGGGCUUAAAGCGUGUGUAGGCGGCUUUCUAAGUUCCUUGUGAAAUCCCACGGCUCAACCGUGGAACUGCUUGGUAUACUGGUUAUCUUGAGCCACUUAGGGGCUACCGGAACAAAUGGUGGAGCGGUGAAAUGCGUAGAUAUCAUUUGGAACGCCAAUGGUGAAAACAGGUAGCUGGGAGUGUGCUGACGCUGAGACACGAAAGCCAGGGGAGCGAACGGG
rnacentral:rRNA from 1 species